rnacentral:rRNA from 1 species
UACGGAGGGGCUAGCGUUGUUCGGAAUUACUGGGCGUAAAGCGCGCGUAGGCGGACCUGCAAGUCGGGGGUGAAAGCCCGAGGCUCAACCUCGGAACUGCCUUCGAUACUGCGGGUCUCGAGUCCGGGAGAGGUGAGUGGAAUUCCUAGUGUAGAGGUGAAAUUCGUAGAUAUUAGGAAGAACACCAGUGGCGAAGGCGGCUCACUGGCUCGGUACUGACGCUGAGGCGCGAAAAGCG